AUUAAUUCUGUAUUUAAGAAAAAAAUGUGAAUGAAUGAUGUUUUUGAUACCUUACAAGUGUUAGUUAUUAACCAGAGAGUGAGAUCAGUUCUCAUAGGAGAGUAACAGUCAGACCAAAAGAUGACAACACAGAAAUGUAACCUGUGCGUUUACCAUUCAGUCUUUUAUAAAAGGACCAGAAAAUAACUCUGGGUGCAAUUUCAUUUUAUUUAUUUAUUUUUUUAAGAAAUUCAGCAGUUGAGGUGUUCAGAGGCAGGAAGACAAUGAGACAAUUUGUAGCAAAUGACAGAUAAACCAUAAUUCUUAGAAAACAUAAUUGGAGUAACUUCGGUGACCUUUUCUAUACAAAGCUGAUCCUUUAUGUGGAAGACAUCUGUAUUUCCUUUGAGAAGAGCACCUGGAGGAAUUAAGCUCCUAUUUAAGAUACCUCAUCUGAAAGCCUAAAAAGUGAGCGCAUCCUGACCAGUGCAUCCUUUUGCCUUCACUGUGCAAACUUACUUUUCAUGUUUUUACAGAGUUAUUUUAGAUUUAUAUACAAAUAUGAAGUGCAAAAUGAAUGUAACCCAGCAUGUUUAUCCUAUUCAUAGUGUUGGAUGAGGCUCCGCUACAUCUAUGCUUCAGUAAAGAUUGUUAAUUUGGUAAAACUUUCAAGAUCAUGAAACACUGUCUGUGCACUGAGCCAAGCAGUCACAAAGCCUACAUCCCUUACAGAGCACAGCACAAGGGCAGGAUGGUGUUACAGCAGAAUACCACUGCACCAUUGUCAUACUUGCGCACUCCUUGCCAGGUAUCUGCCAGAAAGACCUGAGCCUGGGUUGCACUGACGUGUGUGCUGUCAUAGUUCAACCUGUGUUCUGUUUUGUUUUGGUUUUGUUUGUGGGUUGGUUUUUUUGUUUGUUUGUUUGUUUUGUUGUUGUUGUUUCAAUUUUUUUCUUUUGUUUGUUUUACAUUUUAAUGAAAGAAAAGCGUCCAAAUCUUCCAAUUCAAUUUAAAGAGUGGAUGAUAUGGGGUUGGAGGAAUACCCACAGCUAGACAUUGCUAAGGCUAUGAGGAUGUGAGGAGGAGAAAGGCCAAAAGCAAUGCUAGACAUAAGGCUGCCAUUUAAAACAUGUUGGUAUUAGACAACAGUCAUGAAGGGUAUCUCUUAGGCCAAGUCAUAUCUCUGUGCCAGGAGACGUUUACAUGAUACUUGUCAAGUUCCUUCAUCAGUUCUUGGAGUCAAUGCAGUUUCUUGGAAUCAGUGCAGUUUUAAGUUAUCCAGUGUAAAGAGAAUUUUCCUCUCUUUCUGGUGUAGUCUGGUGUAGCUCAGCAAACACUCCCACACUGCAUCUGGGGUAUCACUCCAUGCAUUCUUCCUCUCAGUCUCAUACUGCUGUAUGGGGAGGAGGAUUCAGCAGACAUUGGAGGUCAACUUCUUAUGGAACAACACAGUCACCACCAUUAACUAUGCAUUUUCACCAAAGGUGAACAAAAGCCUGCAUGUCGUGCUCAUCAUAAUCUGCACCAGCGGAGGUUAACCACUGUCAUCAGGGGACUAAUGUUUAGCCAGUGUAUCAAAAUCCAUAAACUUAUUUUCAAUAACCUGAGCUGGUACUGCACUGCCCUCUGUGCCCUGGUUUCAGCCCAGAUGGGGUUAAGAGCACACUGAUGAUCAGUUGGUGCUGAAGGCCAGGCCAGGCAGAGAAUAGCCACCCUGUGAUGGCACGAGUCAGGGGGCAGCCGCAGCAUGAGCUGUGCUGGGCUAAAUGUGGCCUGCAAGCCACAGCGUGGACAUGCCUGACUAAACAGACAAGGUACCCCUUUCCUCUUGUCUCUUUACCACUCUUCGCUGUCAGAUCAGAAACAAAAUACAUUAGUUGGUAGCCUGUGUUUUCCUAUCCUGAAAAGAAAUACAUUAGAAAAUGGAGUAAAAAGUAUGAGUAAAUGUUUCUCAUUGUGCUAUUUGUAUUCUGUCUUUUGCAGAGUAUAUUAUAAUGGAUAAAAGGAAUAUUACAUCACCAGAGGCAGAAAUUCAGUGCAUGGUUCACUGCAGAUUACAGAGCCUGAAAAAGCAAAACAAAGACAGUAAACAUGUUGCCUUUUGUUCAUACAACAUAACUAUAGCAGCAAUGACUAGUGGGAAAUUUCUCAACUAACCCUUCAAAUGUAUAUACAUUUUAUAAGCUUCUUGAAAAUUACAGUAAACUUGGAGAAUACUAUUUCUGCAAGCUUUUUGUACUUGAGUAACUCAACGACAGCAUCUUUAACAGAUUUUUACUGGCAUAUUAUAAAUGAUGAAUAUAUAUUAUAUCAACACAAAUGCCAAGAAAAAACAACAGAAACAACACAGCCCUCCCACCCAAAUCACAUAAUAUAAAGGCAAAUAGCAUUGCUUCCUCCUCACCAGAACUCAGUUGCAUGAUGUGCUUACAGGAAUCAAGCAAAACAGUGAUGUUCAUAUAGUUCAUACAAUUUUGAGUAUCAUAGAUAUGAGCAAGCUGAUUCCAGCUGAGACAUAAACUAUAUUCCCAUGUUUCUGUAUUCACACUAGGCUGGGCAAUCUGAGUAUUACUGUUGUGAUAUUGAGUCUUCUCAAUCGUAGUAAAAUUUUAAGUUCAUUUUUUUCUAACUGGAAUUCCUUCUGAUUUUUGUUCUUAAUUGAAAGAAAGCUAAAGCCCCACAAAUAAUUCUUCUCUACCUAGGUUAAGGCACUUGUUUUUUUUAUCUCAUUACAGAUUUGUAAAAGUAAUUAUUAACACUGCUUUCCUGCUUCUGUUUUAGGAACUAAGAAUAAAUUCCUGCUUACCGUUACAGCAGGAGUGGAGAGAAAAGCAUAUUUAAAAUCAGGUGAAAAAUAUGAGAUACAAAGGAAGACAGAGUUUGUUCUGCAACUGGCUUUACUGGUCUCUUCUAGGAGUUGCCCAAGUCUCCCUGUCUCAGCCUGAAUUCCAGGGGGAUGCCAUGCCACCAUAUCUACACAAAUAAUUGUGCUGUUUCCUUCACCUCAUUUGCAAUGUCACCAGAGGUCUGCAGUUUCCCAUUUUGAUCAAUCCUUCUUUUGAAUUAUCAUGCUCAGUUAGGGCUGUUGCCUGGGGUUAAGCAAGAACAUUUCCUAUUGUGCAGGUCCUCUUCCCAUCGUCUAGUGUGGAUGGUAGACACAGUAACCACAGGUUGCAGCAAAACAUUGGAUGAACAGAUAAUACUUGAGUAUUGAAGUUAAAAACAUGAAAAUUAGUCUCAAUCUUUCACUAUUAAUUUUCCUCCCCCCCCCCAAAAAAAAAAGAAAAAAAGAAAAAAAAAGAGUUUAUUGAGCUGCAAGCUGCAGGUGUCUUGCUUUUAAAUUGAGCUUUCAUUGCACUUUAUAUUUGUCCUUAGGUGGAUAACCUCUUUGCUCCAUAUAAAGACCCUACAAGUGAAAUUUUCACACUGUGCCAUUUUAAAAAAUUCUUCACUCUCAUCUUUCAAAUGUCUGUUUAGAGCUAGUCAUGCUAAAGCUUCUACUACUAAUCAAUGCAGAGAGCAUGUUCUGGUCAUUCACUGUGUCACCACUUUAAAAGGAGAAAAAGACAAACUACUGACAUCUUCAUAACAAGUUACACCAAACUGUAAAUCAGAGGAAAAUUAUUCAUGCUGUGUUCUGGAUGUGACAGAUUUAACUUCAGCCCAGGUUCUCUCUCAUGCUCCACCUGAAUUGUAAAGCAGAUAUCUCAAAUCUAAAAAUUCUUGACAGAGAUAAAAGAGAAAAACUACUCAUGCCAUCAGUGUGGACCAGAAUAUCAAAACACUUUCAGAUUUGCAGGAUAACCAAGACGGGUAUGUUCUACCCAUUCUUAUUCAUUUCUCCAGGUACCAGCACCCAGAUGCAGUAAAGGAGAAAUGAGUCAUGAAAACCCAACCCAUGAAAACCCAACCCAUGAAAACCUAGGCAUUAGGACAGAACAAAGAACAGUAUUUCUUUUGUACUGGGAAGUUAGAAGAGCCAUAACUCUAAUUUUUGCAGCCGGAGUGUCACCAAACAAAAGAGAAAAGAAAUGUUUAUUUGUUUUGUUUUGUUUACUUUCCUAAAUAAGUACUGGAUCUGUUAUUUCUAUCUUUUUUUACAGUAUUUGUGUGGCCUUCUUUGUCAUUUUCACAUGUUGAAAAUAUUUACAAAUAGAAAUAAUAUGCACUACUCCAUGUGACACAGCUUUCCUGUUAAUGAAUUGAUUUUCAAGAUCACACAAGAUGGUUUUUCUUUGGAUAUUUCAUUCCAAAACCCAGGCAAGUGACCCAGUACUCCCACCAAUAUCUCACUGACAGUCAUCCCACCUCAUGAAUAUACAUACACAAGCUAGCCCAGACUACCUACCUCUUAUCUUGCCUUUUCACCAGUGUUUCUGAACUUGUUGAACCUGUCUAGGUUAGAGUGAAACAGGUAAGGAAAUUACCUAAUUUAUAUUGUCUGGCUGUAUAUUUUCUAAGUCUGAAACAAACAAAUAUUUUAUUUUCAAUGACUUUUGAAUGAUUUUUAGUAUCAUUUUCAUGCUUCCAUUUUAUUUCAAGAUGCACAUGAUUUGCUAUAUUUCUGGAAAUAUGGAUAAGCAGUAAUAAAAACUAUUGUCCCAGGGAAAAACAAUAGCUAAAGCAUCUAGUAAUGAAAGAGACUGAAACAGAUCACCAUUGUCAAUCUAUCUUCAGGUAAUUCUCUCUUACAGGAAAUGUGGCUUGCUGAAUUAAUGAGCAACUCCUGGGAUUUUGGUUGGGCAAUCCAAGCCAAUAUCUAUGCUGGUUAAGAUCUUCACUGUCAAUGAAAACAGGAUUAUAUUUUGGAUUCACAGUCUGAACUAAAAACACCAAAGUAGAUGCCAGUGUGUUUGGAUCAGGCAAGACAUAAUGCCCUGAGAUACACAGUCAUUGAUGACACCCUCUUUCCUGAACAUAAGCCUUAUGAUGUGCAAGAAUUUUUAACAGUGACCUCUGAAUUGGAAACAUAUUCAAAAAUAGAGACACAGAAUGAGGUAUGACCCUAGAGAUGUAUACACAUUCUUUUCUUCAGUUAACUGUUACUCUGUGGUCUUCAGGAGGAUAUUGAUGUGAAAAGGUUAUUCGUGUGCAUAAGUAUCUGUAGCUGAGCCAGACUUACAGAGUGUAAAGAUGUGCAAGCCUGGUUAUAGGAAUGGAGCUUCACCUCUCUGGCCUUCACUUCAUUCUUAGUGGAGAGAAAGAUGCAAUUCCAGAGGACAAAUUGUGCCAUUCAUAUCAGCUUGGAAUGUGUUACUAACCCGUCUGGAACUGAAUAUAUGAAAGUACUUAAUUACUGUUUCAUCUUACCGAAUCAGCCUGUUUGUCAAUCCUUGGGAAGGUAAAUCCUGUAAAGCUCCUGAUAUUUUAAAUUUCUGAGUAGAUUCAGAAGACUCACACAAAAUUUCUACUAAAAAUCCCUGUCUUUCAAAUGUCCUUCGACAUACAUACAUUUGUUUUAAAUACAUUUGUACAAAGCAGAAUAACAGACUAAGAGAUACUUUGCCAGACAACAAUAAUUUUCCUUGGGCCAGCAUUUUAAAAUGAACUGUAAAUAUAAUUCUGAAUCUCAGAAUUAUCUUAUUUGAAUCUGCAUACCUGCAGUUCAACAGAUCAACAUGAUUAAAUGGAUCCAUGAUAUAUAUAUCCACUGAUAUACUGUUCUGAAUAACUUCAACUGACAUUGACCUUUCUUUAGCUUUUUUUUUUUUCUGUUUCUUUGUGAUAUACUUUGAUCAUAUGUAAGAAUAUACUUUUUUUUAAGGCUUUCAAUUACAAUACAGAACUAUUAUUAUUAACUAAUUAAUUUCAUAGAAUAGAAUCAUAGAAUGAAUCAUAGAAUGGUUUGGGUUGGAAGGGACCUUUAAGAUCACCUAGUUCCAAUCCCCCUGCUGUAGGCAGGGAUAUGUCCCUCUACACCAGGUUGUUCACAGCCCCAUCCAGCCUGGCCUUGAAUGCGUCCAGGGAAGGGUCAUUCACAACCUCACUGGGCAACCUGUUCCAGUGUCUCACCACCCUCACAGUUAAGAAUUUCUUCAUAAUAUCUAAUCUAAAUCUACCCUCUUUCAGUUUAAAACCAUUUCCCCUCAUCCUGUAGCUCUUACAAAAAGUCCCUCCCCAGCUUUCCUGUAAGCAUACUUCAGGUACUGGAAGGCCACUAUAAGGUCUCCUCAGAGCCUUCUCCAUACUGAAGCACCCCAGCUCUCUCAGGCUGUCCUCAUGUGGGAGAUGUUCCAGCCCUCUGAUCAUCUUCAUGGUCCUCCUCCGGACCUGCUCCAAUACAUUUCAUAUAUUUACUCUUAUUCUUACUUACUACAUCUUACACUGGCUUUUUCUUUUUCUUCCCUUUAAUCUCCAAGGUUCAGGCCCUCUUAUAGCAAUGUAAGAAAGCAUUUAAUACAAUACUUUAAUCAUCACUUGGGGUAAUGUUUUCAAACUAAAAGGUAGGAGAUUUAGAUUACACAUCAGGAUUUCUUUUUUCUCAGAGGGUGGUGAGGCACUGGCACAACUGCCCAGAGAAAUUGUGAGUGCCCCAUCCCUGGAGGUAUUGGAAACCAAGUUAGAUGGGGCCUGGGCAUCUGAGCUGGGGGGUGGCAGCCAUGCCCAAAGCAGAUGUUGGAACUAGGUAGACUUUAAGGUUCUUUCCAACCCAAGAUAUUCUAUGAUUCUGUGAUAAAAUACCAAUUUUCAAUUUGUUUUUAGUAUGCAAUUAUAUUACAGCAAAAGCCUAUUAAAAACUUUGAGAUAUAAUUUAUUUUUAAUAACAUUUUUUGAUAUGUGAUUAGCCCACAGUUGUUUUUCUCGCCAACAUUCUUUUUUUUAUUAUUAUUAACAAUCAAAAAGAUAAUAAGAAUCCUAUGGAACUGGUGGUCUAAAAGAACUGUAUAUAACUUCAAGUUUACACACUACAUCUAACAGAAACACUGAUUCACAUUUGGCAAAUGCAGCCAACUCUCAUUUAUCCUUAAGCAGGUAAUGUGCUCUGUUGAUCAUCCGUGCUAGGGAUACAAAACAUCAAGUCCAGCAGAGCAUUUAGUGAUACACGAAGCACAUUGUUAAUACAGCUGUACUGCUUCCAGGGCUGGAACAGACCCAGAUGUACACCUACUUUCCCACAGAGCUUUGAGUAAUAGGCUCAAUGGAUCCAAGUUUUAUCUGUGCAUGAGUUAAAGUUCACAAUCAAGAAUUCUGGAGAAUAGCCUGAGUCUUGCAAGCCCAGCACUGAAACAGGAUUUGUAACAUUGGCUGGCUCCUUGCAAUGGUACUUCUGCAUUAUAUUGUACAGACCCUGAUCUACUUGUUUUAUUCAUUCUUUUCCAUUAUGUAGCACAGCUGAGCUGUCUGUUACUCUGGAUUCUAUCAAGAUGUAAGAAGCAGUAUGAACACUGCAUAGAGAUUGUGUGAUCGUAUUCCAUACUUAGCACAUGACAGAUAGGGAAAAGUUUUCCAUGCUGUAUUGAACAACAGCCAAGGAACUAAUCCAAAGUCUACUGAAUCAGUGGGUAUCUUCUUGACUUAGAAUAUGCAGCCAGAGAAAUGCUUCAAUAGCCUGAGAGAGAUGUGUGCUCUAAGGGAGUCAAAGCAAAUGUUUUAAGAGAUUAAUUGCUCUAAUCAGUAAAUUCCACAGUAAAUAGAUACUAUUUAAUGACUGCAGAUGUUGCUUUGUGAACUCCUGGAGUAAUUGGGGUGGUGCCUAAAAAGCUGUCUCAUCGGUUUUAUACUUGAAUUUUAUUGGUAGUUGAGUGUUUUUUCAAUAGGAACAACUAUUUAUAUCAGUUAUUUAGUAUGCAUACCUUACAAAUGAAACAGAUUAAUGUUAGUCAGUCAUAAUGUAAUUUUAAAGUAAAAUUCCUUGUAACAUUAGUCCACAGACCACCUCUAAAUUAAUAUCUGUGUUGAAAAUGUAAUUGAUUUUCUUUUUGUCUGUCAACAUUACCAUCAAUUUAGCCCUCCUGGAAGAGAAACUGAAGUUUCUUACUUAGAAGGACAGUAAGAAAAAUCAGCAACACUUCGCAGUCAAGGAGAAGGGUCAUUUAUUUUUUUCAUGCACGUUAUCCUUCUUACAGUCACAAAGAAAUAUACUACACUAAAACUGAAAUGAUCUGUUGCUAGUGUUUAUUGCUCUUUUCUACAGAUUUUAUUGGAUCUCUACAAGGAAUACGAAAUCAUUCAGCAACAGUUUCAGAGGUGCCAAGUUAUGCAGCAUAAAUAGAUUAAUUCAAUUGUGUCUCUAUUGCUGUGAUUGUAGGAACCAAGUUAUCCUAAAUUAUGAACAAGCUUGAGUGACACAAUAGUGCAGUGUCCCCUGAAUCAUUUAGGACACCGACAAAGCACAGACAUCAUCAGACAUCAGUUUGGGUCCUGCUGAGUGCACUGUAGCAUUGAUGAGACCACUACUUAGGAUGCCAGCAACAUCCUCCCUUUUUCUUACCAGGGCUGGCCCCAGCACAGGAGCCUCCUCAUCCCUACAGGAAGAGAGCAAGGACAGAUGCUCUUCCUGGAGUUAGUUUGGAUCAUGCACAGCAGAAGCUCCACUGGGCCUGACACUUGUUAAGGAGAAUUUCCCUUCCUUGUCUGAUUAGCAAUUCCUGAAAUAGAAACAUAUACAUUUCCACAGAAAAAUAAUGUGAUGUCUCCAAAAUUCACCACUCCAGAAUGGUAGCAAGUAGAAAUAAAAGCAAUAGGUGGGACACUGCACUUUAGCUAAUAAAUCUGUCUGAGCCAAGAUUGCUGUAAGUUUUGGAUUAUGGAUCUGUGACCUGCAUAACUCGAUGUUAAUCAAAUGCAAGUUUAUCAUACAACUCCAACAUAAAAAUCGUUGAUGUUCAAGUAAGAACAACACAAGUGUACGGCAUUAGAAGUGUAUUAAGUAAAAAACAGGGAAAAAAUUAAAAUGGAAUUCUCUCCAAGAGGCAUUCUUUGAGUCGUCUCAAAUUACAGAAGAUGGAGGGCUCACCUUCCUCUACAUCUGUGUAGUUAAAUUUGUAGACUGUAAAUAUUCUCUCAGGUUGCUAAGUGAGUUUAUUUUGCACCGUUCCUGGCAUAAAACCAUUCACCAGCUUUUCUGUAAAGUCAUGUGCUUCAUGACUAGCAAUCCCCAAAGCCCAGAUUUUUGUAGCUGGAUUAUAGCCUGUUUGGCAAAUUAAUAUCCUGUGAUAUAGUUAUGAGGAAAAGCCGGACUGCCACAGACAGGCAAGUUUUCACCCUUUUGACCACCUCAGUCUCCAGCUUCCUGCUUACCAAAUAUGCUAUGUGUCUAGAGAUCUAUUCUCCUGUCAGCACCAGCAAAGCAGGGAUUAAGAGCUUUUUUUCAGUCAGUCUCCAUGGCAUCCUGUAUAUUUUGGAGAAAAUCUUUUGUCGUAGCAACUGAAAAGAGAGAGCCACAAAGGUGCUGUGAGUAUGGUGUGAUGCACUCAACCUUUUUGCUUGGUGCUUUCAUAUAUAUGGAAGACUUGGCCUUGUAACUGACAUUACAUUUCCUGAAUUAAUUUUGUUUCAUACUUCCUUUGAUUCCACAUGGUUAAGGCAUUCUGACCGCUGUUGUACUGUGAGCUGACAAGCUUUACAAAAUAACACUAGUCCUCAAAAACAUUUCUUGUGCAUCAACAGCUGAAUUACCUACUCUUUUCUGUACAGAGAUGCACUCUCUUAUACUCUAAGUAAUCUCUGAAAUAUCAUCUGAAUGCUGGAUAUCCUGAGUCAGUCUAUUACUCUAGUUUUAAGGAUUUCCACUCCGAGGAAUGAAAUGCCUUUGAAUUUUCCAAUUAUACUAAGACCACCUUUAGCAAAGGCUAGGUUAAGAUGAAAGAAAAAUGAAUAAUGCAUUUACCAAAUACAAAUAACAAAUUUGCAGAAGCUUUAGAAACAGAUGAGUGGAAGUGAAAACAGAAGCACGCACAUAUCUACAGCUUAGAUAAGCUCCAAAGGUUUCUCUUACCCUGCAGGAUGCAGCUGACAAGCUGAUUAGAUGCUUCAUGGCCUUGUCAGUCUCAUUCUAUGCAAAUCCUAUGUCCUUAACUUGCCUCACAGAAGUCUGAAUUUGCCAGCUUCUGCUCCUUUUUAAGCCCCCAACUUUUUUUUUUUUUUUUUUAGGGGUGGGGGGGAGGGGGCGUUGAUUAAAUGUGGCUUCAGCUUCAUCCUCUCUCCUUCUAUUCUUCAAGCAUUUUUUAUUGAUAGCUUCCAAUAAGAGGUAGUUUCAAAUUUCCUUCCCCGGAACUACUGGCUUUCUCCUUCUGCUUUGGAAAUUCUUAUAUUCCUUGGACAUGCCCAGACGAGGGCAUUGCUUUCUCCUAAACUCAGUGGAAUGUGCUAAUGACUGAGCCCUGCAAAGGGAAGUACUUCAUUAUUAUUCAAAUGCUGGAGCGGAGCCUUCACCAAAACCUUAUGUUUUCAUUUAAAUAUAUAGUUCUGCAGUUUUAUCACCAGAGUUAUCAUAGAGAAAUCAUUACUGGGUUUAAUUUGAAAGUAGAUAAAGUGGCAAGGUUCUGGAAUAUUGAUGGGUUUGAGGGAACACUAAGUCCUAAUCUUGUUAUUGAGCAGUACUAAGACUCAUUUAUUCUCUUCAUGUUAAAGCAAGGAGUGUCUGCAUUUUCCUCCUAUUCCUUUUCUUUGGUAACCUCAGUCUGCAAUUAUAAACUAUCUAUAAAUAAAAUAUUUGUUGAAAUAAAUAUGAGUCAUUAUCUCCCAGAUUUGAGAAUUCCUAUACAAACCUCCAUAAAUAUCUUGGUAGGUUUUCCAAUAGCCCUUGCUGCUUUUACACGAGACAUUCAGAGGAUACCUAAAUCUAGGUGAGAAGGAAAUUAUUCACCUAACUGUGAGGCCAAGAGAAUACGUGCUUUAUACAUAGCUAAAUAGAAAUGGCUGAUAUUAUAGUUAUAUAAUAUAUGUAUCAGCUUGCUGUAAAACAUAAGUGCUAAAGAAAAAGUUAACAUCAGAACCACCAAGCCAGCUGGAUGAUGAAAAAGCAGCUUCAGCCAACACCGGAUCCAGCAGAGCUGUUGAAAGAUCAGGUUGAGUUCAUAAUGAAGUCACCAGAUUAUAAUCUCUUUUAAAUUUUGGAUAAGGUAUUUGGAUGGAUGAGGUAAAAGGAGGAAAUAUAACACAGAUUUUAAAAAGUUUUGGGUGACAUCAUGGGGGGAAUGCUCACAUUGAAAAUUGAGUAUGUAAUAGAAUUAACAGUAGCAGAAUGUGUUGGGGAUUGAUUGGCUAUGUUAUCCACUCACUGUGUGUGGAAGAAAUACAAAUGCAGUAUGACUGAUCAGCCCCCUGAAUAAAUAAUGAGUUUCCAGUACUCUACUGGUGUAUUUCAUAGAUCUGUUUCUAUCAAGUUCAACUAUACAGAAGCAUCUGAGUUCAGAGAUGAUUACCGAAAAAGGAACAAGUAAUAUCAAGUUGGUUUUGUGGGUUUUUUUAGUCAAAUAUUGGACUUUCUAAAAUCCUGCAGAAAAUCGAGCACCUUUUCUG
ensembl:lncRNA